ACGAACCGUACAAACGUUAUUCGGAAUCACUGGGCUUAAAGGGUGCGUAGGCGGCCCGGAAAGUUGGGUGUGAAAUACCUCGGCUCAACCGAGGAACGGCACUCAAAACUACCGGGCUUGAGGAAGACAGAGGUGAGCGGAACUACGGGUGGAGCGGUGAAAUGCGUUGAUAUCCGUAGGAACACCGGUAGCGAAAGCGGCUCACUGGGUCUUAUCUGACGCUGAGUGCACGAAAGCUAGGGGAGCGAACGG
rnacentral:rRNA from 1 species